rnacentral:rRNA from 1 species
CCUACGGAGGCAGCAGUGGGGAAUAUUGGACAAUGGGCGAAAGCCUGAUCCAGCCAUGCCGCGUGUGUGAAGAAGGCCUUCGGGUUGUAAAGCACUUUCAGUGGGGAAGAAAGCCUUGGGGCUAAUACCCUCGAGGAAGGACAUCACCCACAGAAGAAGCACCGGCUAACUCCGUGCCAGCAGCCGCGGUAAUACGGAGGGUGCGAGCGUUAAUCGGAAUUACUGGGCGUAAAGCGCGCGUAGGCGGUCUGAUAAGCCGGUUGUGAAAGCCCCGGGCUCAACCUGGGAACGGCAUCCGGAACUGUCAGGCUAGAGUGCAGGAGAGGAAGGUAGAAUUCCCGGUGUAGCGGUGAAAUGCGUAGAGAUCGGGAGGAAUACCAGUGGCGAAGGCGGCCUUCUGGACUGACACUGACGCUGAGGUGCGAAAGCGUGGGUAGCAAACAGGAUUAGAUACCCCAGUAGUC